GAUCCGAUUCCUACGGGAGGCAGCAGUAGGGAAUCUUCCGCAAUGGACGAAAGUCUGACGGAGCAACGCCGCGUGAGCGAUGAAGGCCUUCGGGUCGUAAAGCUCUGUUGUUAGGGAAGAACAAGUACCGUUCGAAUAGGGCGGUACCUUGACGGUACCUAACCAGAAAGCCACGGCUAACUACGUGCCAGCAGCCGCGGUAAUACGUAGGUGGCAAGCGUUGUCCGGAAUUAUUGGGCGUAAAGCGCGCGCAGGCGGUUCCUUAAGUCUGAUGUGAAAGCCCACGGCUCAACCGUGGAGGGUCAUUGGAAACUGGGGAACUUGAGUGCAGAAGAGGAAAGCGGAAUUCCACGUGUAGCGGUGAAAUGCGUAGAGAUGUGGAGGAACACCAGUGGCGAAGGCGGCUUUUUGGUCUGUAACUGACGCUGAGGCGCGAAAGCGUGGGGAGCAAACAGGAUUAGAUACCCUGGUAGUCCACGCCGUAAACGAUGAGUGCUAAGUGUUAGGGGGUUUCCGCCCCCUAGUGCUGCAGGUAACGCAUUAAGCACUCCGCCUGGGGAGUACGGCCGCAAGGCUGAAACUCAAAGGAAUUGACGGGGGUCCCG
rnacentral:rRNA from 1 species